rnacentral:rRNA from 1 species
GACGAACGCUGGCGGCGUGCCUAAUACAUGCAAGUAGAACGCUGAAGCUUGGUGCUUGCACCGAGCGGAUGAGUUGCGAACGGGUGAGUAACGCGUAGGUAACCUGCCUGGUAGCGGGGGAUAACUAUUGGAAACGAUAGCUAAUACCGCAUAAGAGUAGAUGUUGCAUGACAUUUGCUUAAAAGGUGCAAUUGCAUCACUACCAGCUGGACCUGCGUUGUAUUAGCUAGUUGGUGAGGUAACGGCUCACCAAGGCAACGAUACAUAGCCGACCUGAGAGGGUGAUCGGCCACACUGGGACUGAGACACGGCCCAGACUCCUACGGGAGGCAGCAGUAGGGAAUCUUCGGCAAUGGACGGAAGUCUGACCGAGCAACGCCGCGUGAGUGAAGAAGGUUUUCGGAUCGUAAAGCUCUGUUGUAAGGGAAGAACGAGUGUGAGAGUGGAAAGUUCACACUGGGACGGUAUCUUACCAGAAAGGGACGGCUAACUACGU